UACGUAGGGACCGAGCGUUGUCCGGAUUCAUUGGGCGUAAAGAGCUCGUAGGCGGCCACUCAAGUCGAAUGUGAAACCUCGAGGCUUAACCUCGAGCCUGCAUUCGAUACUGGGCGGCUAGAGUCUGGUAGGGGGAUCUGGAAUUCCUGGUGUAGCGGUGAAAUGCGUAGAGAUCAGGAAGAACACCGGUGGCGAAAGCGCUCUGCUAGGCCGCAACUGACACUCAUGGACGAAAGCUAGGGGAGCGAAUGGG
rnacentral:rRNA from 1 species